GAUAUGGCUCAGGAUGAACGCUAGCUACAGGCUUAACACAUGCAAGUCGAGGGGAAACGACAUCAAAAGCAAGCUUUCGAUGGGCGUCGACCGGCGCACGGGUGAGUAACGCGUAUCCAACCUGCCCAUCACUUGGGAAUAACCUUGCGAAAGUAAGACUAAUACCCAAUGAUAUCCCACGAAGGCAUCCGAAUGGGAUUAAAGAUUUAUCGGUGAUGGAUGGGGAUGCGUCUGAUUAG
rnacentral:rRNA from 1 species